rnacentral:rRNA from 1 species
AUAACGGUCCUAAGGUAGCGAAAUUCCUUGUCAGGUAAGUUCUGACCCGCACGAAAGGCGUAAUGAUUUGGGCACUGUCUCAACAGCCCGCCCGGCGAAAUUGUAGUACCGGUGAAGAUGCCGGUUACCCGCGACAAGACGGAAAGACCCCAUGGAGCUUUACUGUAGCCUAAUAUUGGGUUUCGAUGUUGCAUGCACAGGAUAGAUGGGACACAGGGAAACAAUCGCUUUGGCGGUUGCGGAGUGGCCGUUGGGAUACCAUCCUUGCGAUAUUGGAAUUCUAACCUGCGGCUCUGAAUCGAGUCGGGGGACAUUGUUAGGUGGGCAGUUUGACUGGGGCGGUCGCCUCCUAAAAAGUAACGGAGGCGUUCAAAGGUUCGCUCAGCUUGAACGGAAAUCAAGCAAAAGAGUGCAAACGCAGAAGCGAGCCUAACUGCGAGACUGACGGGUCGAGCAGUAACGAAAGUUGGAGUUAGUGAUCCGGUGGUAUGUGAGUGGAAAUGCCAUCGCUCAACGGAUAAAAGUUACCCUGGGGAUAACAGGCUGAUCUCCCCCAAGAGUCCACAUCGACGGGGAGGUUUGGCACCUCGAUGUCGGCUCAUCGCAUCCUGGGGCUGUAGUAGGUCCCAAGGGUUGGGCUGUUCGCCCAUUAAAGCGGUACGCGAGCUGGGUUCAGAACGUCGUGAGACAGUUCGGUCCCUAUCUGUCGUGGGCGCAGGAUAUUUGAUGGGAGCUGUCCCUAGUACGAGAGGACCGGGACGGACGUACCUCUGGCGCACCAGUUGUUCCGCCAGGAGCAUAGCUGGGCAACUACGUACGGAUCGGAUAAACGCUGAAAGCAUCUAAGCGUGAAGCCGACCCAAAGAUAAGAUAUCCCAUUGUUUUAAACAAGUAAGACCCCUUGAAGACUACAAGGUCGAUAGGCACGAUGUGUAAGUGGAGCGAUCCAUUCAGCAAGCGUGUACUAAUAGGUCGAGGGCUUGACCAC